CGGGACGGGUGAGUAACGCGUGGGUAACCUGCCAUAUACAGGGGGAUAACACUUAGAAAUAGGUGCUAAUACCGCAUAAGCGCACAGUAUUGCAUGAGACAGUGUGAAAAACUACGGUGGUAUAUGAUGGACCCGCGUCUGAUUAGCUGGUUGGUGAGGUAACGGCCCACCAAGGCGACGAUCAGUAGCCGGCCUGAGAGGGUGGACGGCCACAUUGGGACUGAGACACGGCCCCAACUCCUACGGGAGGCAGCAG
rnacentral:rRNA from 1 species